ACGGAAAGGCCCCUUCGGGGGUACUCGAGUGGCGAACGGGUGAGUAACACGUGGGCAAUCUGCCCUGCACUUCGGGAUAAGCCUGGGAAACUGGGUCUAAUACCGGAUAGGACCUUUAGGCGCAUGCCUUUUGGUGGAAAGCUUUUGCGGUGUGGGAUGGGCCCGCGGCCUAUCAGCUUGUUGGUGGGGUGAUGGCCUACCAAGGCGACGACGGGUAGCCGGCCUGAGAGGGUGUCCGGCCACACUGGGACUGAGAUACGGCCCAGACUCCUACGGGAGGCAGCAGUGGGGAAUAUUGCACAAUGGGCGCAAGCCUGAUGCAGCGACGCCGCGUGGGGGAUGACGGCCUUCGGGUUGUAAACCUCUUUCACCAUCGACGAAGGUCCGGGUUUUCUCGGAUUGACGGUAGGUGGAGAAGAAGCACCGGCCAACUACGUGCCAGCAGCCGCGGUAAUACGUAGGGUGCGAGCGUUGUCCGGAAUUACUGGGCGUAAAGAGCUCGUAGGUGGUUUGUCGCGUUGUUCGUGAAAUCUCACGGCUUAACUGUGAGCGUGCGGGCGAUACNGGCA
rnacentral:rRNA from 1 species